rnacentral:rRNA from 1 species
UACGUAGGUGGCAAGCGUUAUCCGGAUUUAUUGGGUGUAAAGGGCGUGUAGGCGGGAGCGCAAGUCAGAUGUGAAAACUCAGGGCUCAACCCUGAGCCUGCAUUUGAAACUGUGUUUCUUGAGUGCUGGAGAGGCAAUCGGAAUUCCGUGUGUAGCAGUGAAAUGCGUAGAUAUGCGGAGGAACACCAGUGGCGAAGGCGGAUUGCUGGACAGUAACUGACGCUGAGGCGCGAAAGCGUGGGGAGCAAACAGG